CGGGCUGGCAGCCGCCAGCCCGUACUGACAUCGGUACCUGACACGGCCGGUGCAG
rfam:Streptomyces sp. DvalAA-14 genome assembly, contig: Ga0115240_1693